rnacentral:snRNA from 1 species
GUGCUUGCUUCAGCAGUGCAUAUACUAAAAUUGGAACAAUACAGAGAAGAUUAGCAUGACCUCUGUGCAAGGAUGACACACAAAUUCAUGAAGCAUUCCAUGUUUUU